rnacentral:lncRNA from 1 species
CAUCCCCAUCUUUCUCUCCCUAAAAGAAGAGACUUUCUCUACAGAUAGGGCAACCAAAGAUCCCUAGAUCAUGCUACAAAUAUUUUUUUUCCUUUGGAAGUGCAGUCCUAUCAUGACUCCAUCCCCAUCCCUCUCUCUCUCUUCUUAGGAUAAUGUAAGAGAAGAGACUUCCUCCAUAGACUUUAUUGAUAGAGUGGAAGGGGGGCAGAUGUCAACACGUCCCCAUGCUCUCUUAUACUCUUCCUUCAUCUCCACCAUACUUCUGCAUUCUCUUUCUCACCUCAGCCUAUACACCUCCCUCUCUUUUCUUCAUAUUUGAUCUAAGCGGUAAUAUAGAUAGUGAAGGAGAUAAUUCAUCGAUAGCUAAUAUCGAUAGAAUGACCUAUGUGGUUAUAACAGAGAGAGGAAAAGAGGAGGCAAGAAAGGGAAGAGGGGUCCCCGAUGUAUCG